CAAUGUCAUGCGUGUGAAAGCGUUUCUUCCUUUUUGCAGGGUGUACCAGCCUGUUACACAGAACUACAUAGGCCAGGGCAUAUCCUGGUUGGCUAGUGGGGAAAACACAGGUGUUUAUCUGUCCUUCACAUGACCAUAUGCUAUCAAAAUGAUUUUGAGGAUGGUACCUAAACUAGUUGCCCAUUAAACCAUAUCUCAAAAAGUGUCAAAUUGUUGCAUAGUGUUACUUUAACAGCCCUUUAGACUCUUGAUUUGCCUUGAGACGCCACAUCCCCAAACCUAUACAGUUCAAUAAACCCCACAUUCAGACAUGCAUUUUUUUUGCCAGAGUUUUAGCCAUUUGUCUUGGCGCACUUACUCUCUGCAUUAUUGUGUCUAUAGGAAAUAUCCUAUUUAGAUUUCCAAAGACACUUUUUGAAAUAGUGAGAUUGAUUUAUGUAGCCUACUUUCUGUUUGCUGCAAUUUGAAUGUCGUUAAUUGAUAAUUAAAAGCUAUUCAUGUCAUUUAUUAAGCAUAAUCAAUAUACAGCAGUGUUGCAGGUGUGCCAAAAACACAGUAGGCUACUGUUCAUUAAAAAGCAGAGACGAAAUGUCUGUGGCUCUGAGGUGAUCUAAAGUUUCUCUUAGUGUUGUUAUAUUGUAGGGCAUAAGUGUCCAUCAAGAAGCACAGAUCAAUUGACUAGGGUAGGCUACAUUAUUUUCACUUUUCGUUAUUUAGGCUAUAUAAAAAAAAUUAAAACGGAGAGUUGUAUCAAUGAUAUCUUAAUUUAUUUCCACGAAAUUCAUCAGGUAGAUUAGAUGACAAUGUAUCGUCGGGUCAUCCUUUGCUCCGUGUGGGGGCGCAAGAGAGUCUCGAACGCUAGUAGACUCAGUAAUAGAAGAAGAAGAAGUAAACCCAACUGAGAUCUGGUUACUCAGUGGGAAGUCAGUGGUGGUAGACCACGGAAGACAUGGUAGAUAUUUGCGCACUGGAGCCGGCGAAAAUGAUGCAAAGAUUUUCUCCUUUGACUAAUGACAUAGCUCCGUUAUGCAGUGAAGAUUCAGAUAUAGAUUCUGACCACAACACACCCCCUAUAGCCCGAACCAGUUACAGGAAGCAGAAAAAACAAGCAAAUUGCAGAGCCUUUGGGGCAGGCCAUCGUGGCCGUGGAGAGAAAAGGAGAGAAUCGUUGUGGGAGGAAGAGGACGAGCAGAGAGCGGAGGGUUUGGGCAGCGAGGGAGAGGAUGAACCGGUGGCUCGCCAGGGUAGGGCUCACGCCCGUGCCUCUAGGGCUGUGCCCACGGCGACCAAGAAGAAGCAGGCGCGAGUGGCCAAAGUGGACUCAAGCUAUCGGGUGGUGACGCGGUCCAGCGAGGAGAGUGAGAACCAAUCGGAGAACCAGGAUGGUGGAGAGGGAAGUGAUGGAGAGCAGCACAACCAAUCAGAGAGUGAUGACACAGAUGAGAGGCAGGAGCCAGUGAAAAAGAGGCGGGGUAGGAGAAAGACCAGCAGUAGAGAGGAGCCAAAACAGAAGAGAGGGAGAAAGAGACAAAACAGAGAGGAAGAUGAUGGAGGAGAGAGUGAGGAUGAGGAUAAAGAGGAGAGGAGGAAGGACAAUGGAGAGGAGAAGAACGAUGGAGAGGAAUCGGAGCAAGAUGGAGCGACCAAACGCAAACGUGCACUGAAGAAACAAGUCCACAACAUAACAAGAGUCAAAGAGGAGAAUAUUGACGAAGAGGAGAGCGAUAGAGAGGAGGAAGAUGAGAAAGAGAAGAGUGAUGCAGAGAGCAAUAGAGAGGAAGAGAAUGGAUCAGAGAAAACAGCAUCAUCAAAAGGUCGGAAGUCACAGAAAGGAUGCAUCAAAAAUCCAAGUGAGAAGAAGCAGAACAGCGAAUCGGAGCAAGGUGCUGCGACACAGCGCAGGUGUGGCCUGAGAAAACGAGUCAAGGACGACACCCGUGACGAUGAAGAGGAAGGCAACAAACCCGAAAAGGACAGAGCUGUGAAACGGAGGCGAGGGAGUAAAAUGCGCACGGAAGAUGAGGAAGAUGAAGAGAGUUCUGAAAAACAGGACGGCGAAUCAGAGAGGCCAUCUAAACAAAAGAGAAGCUCCACCUCUGAUAAGGCAAGUAGCAAAUUGAGAAAAGCUGGGGGCUCGGAUUCACUGACGAAAGCGAGGAAGCCUCGUGCGGGGGCCGGGCCGGUGACCUGUGAGACCUGCGGCCUGCUGGUGAAGUGCCGAGCGGCCAUGGAGCGCCACCGCCUCACACACACGGGCGAGAAGCCGUUCGCGUGCGAGGAGUGUGCCAAGCGCUUCGUCAGCUCGUCCAACCUGCGCAUCCACCAGAUGGAGCACACCGGCAAGAAGGAGUACAUGUGCAACGAGUGCGGCCAGCAGUUCACACACCUGGCCUACCUGAAACGCCACCUGCUGCGCCACUCCGGCAAGAAGCCGCACACCUGUCCCGCCUGCGGCAAGGGCUUUGUACAGAAGUACCACCUGGAGCGGCACAAACUGAUUCACAGUGGCGCGAAACCGUUCAAGUGUCACGUGUGUGCAGAAGCCUUUAAUCGGUCCGAGUACCUGACGGGGCACAUCAAGAAGGAGCACCCCGGGGAGGUGGUGGGGGAGCUGGAGGAGGGGGACUCGGCGAAGCCCCAGAUCACAUGCAUGCUGUGCGCUAAGAGAGUGGCGUCGAAGUCGCAGCUGGUGGUGCACCUGCGCAUGCACACCGGGGAGAAGCCGUUCUGCUGUGACCAGUGCGACCGCCGCUUCACGCAGAAGAGCCAACUCACGUCGCACCUGCGCACACACACCGGGGAGCGGCAGUGGGAGUGCCCCGUGUGUGAGAAGCGCUUCACGCGCCGGACGCACAUGGACAGCCACAUACGGACCGUGCAUGGGGACAACCCCUGAAUCUGCAGCCGCUACCGACAUUUUGGGGUGCUGCCAUUUUUAUAUAAACAAGCGUGUAUCAUAGAUAUGGGACUGAAUCUUUAGGAUACACUCACGUGUCUGACAUUGUUUUGAUGCUGUAUGUCGAGGUGUAUGGCAUCAGUUAUUCCUGUGAAUUUUGUUACAUUUUACAGACAUUUUAUAUUCUUUGUAAAAAAUCAUGAUGCUCAGUGGAAGAUGAACCAGAUAACAAAACAAAAGCAGGCUUGGUAUUCAUUAUUGACUCAUUUUAGCUGGUAUACUCUUGUUCUCUAACAAUAUGAUGUCAAGCCUGAACUCUAGAUGUCUUUCAUCUCUUAAUGUUUUUGUUUGUUUAUUUGUUUGUUUUAAUCAGUAUACUAAGGACACAGUGGUGUUGUGUUUGGGGAUUGAUGCUUCUUCUGUCAGUCAGCUAAAGAUGAUCUUAUCUGGUGGUAGAUUCAGAUAUUUCAUGUAGCAUACGUCAUAGAAUGUGGAUAAUUGUCAUUGUCAAGAUUGCUGAAAGGACAUUGUUAACUAAAUGUCAGAUUUCAGACCAGUACAUGAACCCAGAUGACCCAUGACCCAGGAAGUGAUGUGGUGCAGAUCUGGCACAGGUGUAACAUGCUUAAUCCUCUGCAAAGUCUGAUGCUGUGUAAGGACCAGUAGAGCUGUGUUUGGCAAGUGUGUGUUAAAUAGGCAGGUGGGUUAGGAAGGGAUCCUCCUCUUUCUCAAAAAGAGGUGAACAAAGUGUGUGGGGUAGCAGGCACCUGUUGUUCUUCACAGCAGCAGUAGUGUGUGUGUGUGUGUGUGUGUGUGUGUGUAUUCCACAGGAACAUGACAAGUCAAGGACCAGGAGUGAGUAUGUGUGUGUGUGUAGGGGAUCUGGUUUAGCAAGCACACUGAACUCUGGAGGAGGUUUCACACACACCCGAUUCAGUGUGACUGUAGGAGACGGCAAUGGGGACUAUUGUCCUGUAGUCUUACACCACCUGCCUACAUUUUCUGUGUGCAUUACAGACUGGAAGAAUUUCACUGGAUUCAGUUUGGUUUAGGAGUGUAGCACUGAACGUACACGUGACUCAUUGAAACUGAAAUGAUCAAGUCAUAGCCCAUGUUAAACAUAACCACAAGUAACCAUGACUUUAUCCACAAGCCAUGAUCUGGUGAGAAUUUACAGACCUUGGUUUGACGGCUAUUCCAGUUGCCGCAGUUGAGUAACUUUUAAGAUAAUUACUUUCACUUCAGUUCAGCUUGUUUACCAUAAUUAGCAGGUUUUUUACACUGCAAUUAGCUACAACGUACAACUGUCAAUCAACCUCUGUUAAACAGCCAUGUUUCACCAAGCCAGCUGUAAACCGAAACAGUCAAUAUUGUGUUCUAAAUUGUGGGCAAUGAAUUGACCGUUUUGAAUGUCUUGACACGGUUAAAUGCAUAAGCUGCAUCAGCAGUCAAUAGUCAACAGUAACAAAUCGUUUCAGAAAGUGACGGAGUUGUAGAAAUUGAACUUGAGUUGUAAUGACAGAUUUCCUCAAAGAACCAGUUUACGUUUACACUGCAAGUGUAUGUUAUGAUCCAUCCAAACAUGUGUCGUUAAUUUGUCACACAUUUUUCCCCUAAAUGUUUUUUUUCCGUUUGAUUUUCAAUUAUAUAAAUCAUUUAGAAGUUAUUUCCAAGGAAUCCCUUAUUACAAAUACGAUUUCCCAGACGCAUUUCUUAUGGGCAUUAGUGGGUGCAGUUGCCCAUGUAUUUGGGUCUCAAAGUAGGAGUAUUUAUUACUUGGGAAGGACCUUUCACCAACCCACUCUCCUGCUACGAUCAGAAGAACCUGAGCUGAAGAAGGACCAGCUACAAGGCUGCGACAUGGGAACCGAGGGGAAGGUGAUCCGGUGCAGAGCAGCGGUGGCCUGGAAAGCGGG